rnacentral:rRNA from 1 species
AAUCCGGCCCCCCUGGGGGCCUGAGUUGUAAUUUGCAGAGGAUGCUUCGGGCGCGACCGCGGUCCAAGUCCCCUGGAACGGGGCGUCGUAGAGGGUGAGAAUCCCGUCUCCGGCCGGCCGGUCUCGCCCGUGUGAAGCUCCUUCGACGAGUCGAGUUGUUUGGGAAUGCAGCUCCAAAUGGGUGGUAAAUUUCAUCUAAAGCUAAAUACUGGUCGGAGACCGAUAGCGCACAAGUAGAGUGAUCGAAAGAUGAAAAGCACUUUGAAAAGAGAGUUAAACAGCAUGUGAAAUUGUUGAAAGGGAAGCGCUUGCGACCAGAGUCGGCCGUGGGGGUUCAGCGGGCAUUCGUUGCCCGUGCAAUCCCCCGCGGCGGGCCAGCGUCGGUUUCGACGGCCGGUCAAAGGCUCCCGGAAUGUGUCGCCUCUCGGGGCGUCUUAUAGCCGGGGGUGCAAUGCGGCCAGUCGGGACCGAGGAACGCGCUCCGGCACGGACGCUGGCUUAAUGGUCGUCAGCGACCCGUCUUGAAACACGGACCAAGGAGUCUAACAUCCACGCGAGUGUUCGGGUGUCAAACCCGUCCGCGCAGUGAAAGCGAACGGAGGUGGGAACCCCUGAGGGUGCACCAUCGACCGAUCCUGAAGUCUUCGGAUGGAUUUGAGUAGGAGCGUGGCC